rnacentral:rRNA from 1 species
UGGGGAAUAUUGGACAAUGGGCGAAAGCCUGAUCCAGCCAUGCCGCGUGUGUGAAGAAGGUCUUCGGAUUGUAAAGCACUUUAAGUUGGGAGGAAGGGCAGUAAGCGAAUACCUUGCUGUUUUGACGUUACCGACAGAAUAAGCACCGGCUAACUCUGUGCCAGCAGCCGCGGUAAUACAGAGGGUGCAAGCGUUAAUCGGAAUUACUGGGCGUAAAGCGCGAGUAGGUGGUUCGUUAAGUUGAAUGUGAAAGCCCCGGGCUCAACCUGGGAACUGCAUCCAAAACUGGCGAGCUAGAGUAGGGCAGAGGGUGGUGGAAUUUCCUGUGUAGCGGUGAAAUGCGUAGAUAUAGGAAGGAACACCAGUGGCGAAGGCGACCACCUGGGCUCAUACUGACACUGAGGUGCGAAAGCGUGGGGAGCAAACAGG